rnacentral:lncRNA from 13 species
AAGGUCAAAGAGUGUCAGUAACCACACACUCUCAGGAAGUGGUAUGAUUGAAAAUCAAAUCCACUGCUACCUUUUCAAGUCUGGAAGAGGAAACCUCAUUAAGAUCACACUGCAGUACAGUAAGGUACACAGGAGCCUCAGAUUGCCAUGGCAGAGGAACUCGGUGCCCAGCUCAUACCUACUCAUAAAUACCACUGGUUUAGCUUUUGAAUGAACCAGUGUGCCUAAACCUCCUGAGAUCCUGGUCCCAGAGCUGCUUGAGAACACAUUUCUGCACAGAUCACUGCCCAAAGAUCUUUACCACAGAUGGCAACACACAUGAGACCUGCCCUGUUUCUAACCAGAUCUGUCCAGAAAUUCAGUCCUAACAGAGGCAGACGCGGACACUUCUUGACUGAUUUACUGCAUUCACUGAUGAGAAAUUGAUCACUGAUGUUUGGACAUGUCUAUGCCUGGAAAGACUGCAUAAGAACACUAAAUUUGAUCCUAAUAUCUCCAACAGCAAAGGAAGAAUGAGUUGGGAAGACAUUCAGUGUCAUGAGUACUGUGCCUCUGGACCCAGGAGGAAGUGCAUCCUAGCAGACUUAUGCUGUUUUGUUAAAAGUGCUGUAUUAUUGGUACAAUGCUAGUCAACUUUUGGUGAUCUCAAAAAAUGUGGCAUUUAACAGAUUGGUUUAUUUGUAAUCAAGAUAUGGAUAAACCAAACCACCUAGUCACUGACUAAUAAGAAAAGAAGUAGUAUUUUUUUAGUCUGUUACCUCAGGUUUCCUGCCAUAUUCUCCAGCUGCUACUUAAAAAAUUUUGCUUGUGUUAUUACCAAAUUGCAUAUUUUAAAAAGUCAUCAUGCAAAAACUGGCUGAUUAAAAGCAAGUUACUCAUCCAACUCAUUACAGCUUUCAUGAGUAUCUAUCUCAUAGCAGCCGGAAGAGUUAUUUUGCUAUAAUGGCAUUUUCAUUAAAUCUUCUAUUUCAAUUUCUGUUUAUCAAGCCUCAUUUCUCCAAGGAUUAGUUGUCUUACAAAUGUAUCCAGUAUUCUUUUGAUUUUGUCAACCAAUUUCUUUGAGGGAGGAGGUGUAUUCUGAAAACUGUACUAAUGACCAUCAACUUGUCGCUUUAAAAUUCAUAUUUAAUUUCUGAGUUUUCACUGCAGAAUGCAAUGUUUUCAUUUGCAUUCUUCCUGAUCAAAAGAACCUCCCUUUUGUACCUGAUUUGCCAGAGCAAUUAAUUCUCUUUAACACAUUGCUAUUUGACUUUUGUUUUGCUAUUUGAUUUUCUUUCUUCUCCUAUCUGUGGUUAUGAAAACCUGCCAUGGUUCUGAAAGAAAGAAUAUUAAAAUGUUGUUUUGAAAUUAAAUGUUCAAAGCUUCCAUGCUUUUUCCUUUUGGAUGAAAAAGAACCCACAGAUCUCUGUGCCAUCCCUGACAUGUGAAUUGUGGAAGAUUCAAU